CAGGUAGCUCAGUCGGUAGAGCAGUGGACUGAAAAUCCUCGUGUCGGUGGUUCGAUUCCGCCCCUGG
rnacentral:tRNA from 1 species